GAUCAUCGCUUAGGAUGAACGCUAGCGACAGGCUUAACACAUGCAAGUCGAGGGGCAGCGAGGGAGUGGCAACACUUCUGUCGGCGACCGGCGCACGGGUGAGUAACGCGUAUGCAACCUGCCCUUCACAGGGGGAUAACCGGGAGAAAUUCCGACUAAUACCGCAUACGUCCUUUGGGGGCAUCCCCUGGGGAUGAAAGAGUUAUCGGUGAAGGAUGGGCAUGCGUGAUAUUAGGUAGUUGGCGGGG
rnacentral:rRNA from 1 species